AUUGAACGCUGGCGGCAGGCCUAACACAUGCAAGUCGGACGGUAGCACAGAGAGCUUGCUCUCGGGUGACGAGUGGCGGACGGGUGAGUAAUGUCUGGGGAUCUGCCCGAUAGAGGGGGAUAACCACUGGAAACGGUGGCUAAUACCGCAUAACGUCGCAAGACCAAAGAGGGGGACCUUCGGGCCUCUCACUAUCGGAUGAACCCAGAUGGGAUAAGCUAGUAGGCGGGGUAACGGCCCACCUAGGCGACGAUCCCUAGCUGGUCUGAGAGGAUGACCAGCCACACUGGAACUGAGACACGGUCCAGACUCCUACGGGAGGCAGCAGUGGGGAAUAUUGCACAAUGGGCGCAAGCCUGAUGCAGCCAUGCCGCGUGUAUGAAGAAGGCCUUCGGGUUGUAAAGUACUUUCAGCGGGGAGGAAGGCGAUGUAGUUAAUAACCGUAUCGAUUGACGUUACCCGCAGAAGAAGCACCGGCUAACUCCGUGCCAGCCGCCGCAGUAA
rnacentral:rRNA from 1 species